GUGAGGAAUAUUGCGCAAUGGAGACAACUCUGACGCAGCCAUGCCGCGUGCAGGAAGAAGGCGCUACGCGUUGUAAACUGCUUUUAACCGGGAAGAAACCCCAGGACGUGUCCUGGGUUGACGGUACCGGAGGAAUAAGCACCGGCUAACUUCGUGUCAGCAGCCGCGGUAAUACGAAGGGUGCAAGCGUUAUCCGGAUUCAUUGGGAUUAAAGGGUGCGUAGGCGGAGCGUUAAGUCAGUGGUGAAAUCCUGCAGCUUAACUGUAGACGUGCCAUUGAUACUGGCGCUCUUGAGUGCGCUUGAAGUGGGCGGAAUGUGCCGUGUAGCGGUGAAAUGCUUAGAUAUGGCACAGAACACCAAUUGCGAAGGCAGCUCACUAAGGCGAUACUGACGCUGAGGCACGAAAGCGUGGGGAUCGAACAGGAUUAGAAACCCUUGUAGUCC
rnacentral:rRNA from 1 species